GAUGAACGCUAGCGGCAGGCCCAAUACAUGCAAGACGAACGGUAAGUUGAGUAGCAAUACUUAGCCAAGAGUGUCGUACGGGUGCGUAACACGUAUGCAACCUACCCUAUACAGGAGGAUAGCCUAGGGAAACCUGGAUUAACCCUUCAUAGUAUUAUUGGAUGGCAUCAUUUGAUAAUUAAAACUGAGGUGGUAUAGGAUGGGCAUGCGUCUGAUUAGUUAGUUGGCGGGGUAAUGGCCCACCAAGACGAUGAUCAGUAGGGGUUCUGAGAGGAAGAUCCCCCCACACUGGCACUGAGAUACGGGCCAGACUCCUACGGGAGGCAGCAGUAGGGAAUAUUGGUCAAUGGAUGCAAGUCUGAACCAGCCAUGCCGCGUGCAGGAAGAAGGCCUUUCUGGGGUUGUAAACUGCUUUUGCCAGGGGGAUAAAAUUUCCAUGCGUGGAAAACUGAAGGUACCUGGUGAAUAAGCCACGGCUAACUACGUGCCAGCAGCCGCGGUAAU
rnacentral:rRNA from 1 species